UACGAAGGGGGCAAGCGUUGUUCGGAAUUACUGGGCGUAAAGCGCACGUAGGCGGAUUAGUAAGUCAGGGGUGAAAUCCCGGGGCUCAACCUCGGAACUGCAUUUGAUACUGGUGAUCUUGAGUCCGGAAGAGGUAAGUGGAAUUCCUAGUGUAGAGGUGAAAUUCGUAGAUAUUAGGAAGAACACCAGUGGCGAAGGCGGCUCACUGGUCCGGUACUGACGCUGAGGUGCGAAAGCGUGGGGAGCAAACAGG
rnacentral:rRNA from 1 species